rnacentral:lncRNA from 1 species
UUACUCAGGAGGAAGCUGAGAGCAAGGCCAUUUUACACUCAGAAUCCUGAAUUUCCUCUUUCUGGUUUAGGAUGCUGUUCUCCAAAGUUCUAGCUUCUGGGACCUGAUCUCCACAUGGCCUUCCUGUGGGCUUUACAUUGCCUUCUGCUGUGAAAUCAUCUCCAUAGAGAAAAAAAAGUGAAGGUCAGAGGCAUUAUCACCCAAGUUAAAAAACAUUCCCAAAGGGUCUGGGAUCAACUAGAGCCUGAGGCCUCACACACCCAGCUGCCUUUGCCCAGCUGCCUUUGCCCAGCUGCCUUCCUGUUUCUUGGCCAGUCAAGAGCAGCUCACAGUGUCAUUCACAUACCAGUUAGCUGCCAAGCUUCAGAGGUUUCCCAAGCAGGCACUGCCUCUCACCUGAGCAGACUGGAGAAGUGACACCUACAACUGAUGUCUGAGAUUCUGAGAGCAUAAACCUGGUGACUCUCUCCUUCCUCUAUGGAACCUGCCACAGCAGCCCAUUGAGGGUUCUUUCUCCUGGGAUCCUGGACUCCUAAA